rnacentral:tRNA from 1 species
GGAGAGAUGGCAGAGUGGUUGAAUGCACCAGUCUUGAAAACUGGAGUCUCUGAAAGGGGACCGAGAGUUCGAAUCUCUCUCUCUCCG